GACGAAGGGGGCUAGCGUUGUUCGGAAUUACUGGGCGUAAAGCGCGUGUAGGCGGUUGCCAAAGUCGGGUGUGAAAGCCUUGAGCUCAACUCAAGAAUUGCACUCGAUACUUGGUGACUAAAGGACCGGAGAGGAUAGUGGAAUUCCCAGUGUAGUGGUGAAAUACGUAGAGAUUGGGAAGAACACCAGUGGCGAAGGCGGCUAUCUGGACGGUUUCUGACGCUAAGACGCGAAAGCGUGGGGAGCAAACAGG
rnacentral:rRNA from 1 species